rnacentral:rRNA from 1 species
UACGUAGGGUGCGAGCGUUGCCCGGAUUUAUUGGGCGUAAAGGGCGCGUAGGCGGUGAGAUGCGUCCGUUGUGAAAUCGCCCGGCUCAACUGGGCGGGGUCAGCGGAUACGGUCUCACUCGAGCAAGCUAGGGGGCAAUGGAAUUCCCGGUGUAGUGGUGGAAUGCGUAGAUAUCGGGAGGAACACCAGUGGCGAAGGCGGUUGCCUGGAGCUUUGCUGACGCUGAUGCGCGAAAGCGUGGGGAGCGAUCCGG